AUUGAACGCUGGCGGCAGGCCUAACACAUGCGAGUCGAGCGGAUGGAGGGAGCUUGCUCCUGGAUUCAGCGGCGGACGGGUGAGUAAUGCCUAGGAAUCUGCCUGGUAGUGGGGGAUAACGUCCGGAAACGGGCGCUAAUACCGCAUACGUCCUGAGGGAGAAAGUGGGGGAUCUUCGGACCUCACGCUAUCAGAUGAGCCUAGGUCGGAUUAGCUAGUUGGUGGGGUAAAGGCCUACCAAGGCGACGAUCCGUAACUGGUCUGAGAGGAUGAUCAGUCACACUGGAACUGAGACACGGUCCAGACUCCUACGGGAGGCAGCAGUGGGGAAUAUUGGACAAUGGGCGAAAGCCUGAUCCAGCCAUGCCGCGUGUGUGAAGAAGGUCUUCGGAUUGUAAAGCACUUUAAGUUGGGAGGAAGGGCAGUAAGUUAAUACCUUGCUGUUUUGACGUUACCAACAGAAUAAGCACCGGCUAACUUCGUG
rnacentral:rRNA from 1 species